GGUGAGUAACACGUGGAUAACCUACCUAUAAGACUGGGAUAACUUCGGGAAACCGGAGCUAAUACCGGAUAAUAUAUUGAACCGCAUGGUUCAAUAGCGAAAGACGGUUUUGCUGUCACUUAUAGAUGGAUCCGCGCCGCAUUAGCUAGUUGGUAAUGUAACGGCUUACCAAGGCGACGAUGCGUAGCCGACCUGAGAGGGUGAUCGGCCACACUGGAACUGAGACACGGUCCAG
rnacentral:rRNA from 1 species